AUUGAACGCUGGCGGCAUGCCUUACACAUGCAAGUCGAACGGCAGCGGGGGAGAAGCUUGCUUUUCCUGCCGGCGAGUGGCGAACGGGUGAGUAAUACAUCGGAACGUGCCCUGUAGUGGGGGAUAACUAGUCGAAAGAUUAGCUAAUACCGCAUACGACCUGAGGGUGAAAGUGGGGGACCGCAAGGCCUCAUGCUAUAGGAGCGGCCGAUGUCUGAUUAGCUAGUGGGUGGGGUAAAGGCCUACCAAGGCGACGAUCAGUAGCUGGUCUGAGAGGACGAUCAGCCACACUGUGACUGAGACACGGCCCAGACUCCUACGGGAGGCAGCAGUGGGGAAUUUUGGACAAUGGGCGAAAGCCUGAUCCAGCAAUGCCGCGUGUGUGAAGAAGGCCUUCGGGUUGUAAAGCACUUUUGUCCGGAAAGAAAUGGCUCUGGUUAAUACCUGGGGUCGAUGACGGUACCGGAAGAAUAAGGACCGGCUAACUACGUGCCAGCCGCCGCUUAA
rnacentral:rRNA from 1 species